rnacentral:rRNA from 1 species
UACGAAGGGAGCUAGCGUUGUUCGGAAUCACUGGGCGUAAAGCGCACGUAGGCGGAUUUGUCAGUCAGGGGUGAAAUCCCGGGGCUCAACCUCGGAACUGCCUUUGAUACUGAAGAUCUUGAGUCCGGGAGAGGUGAGUGGAACUGCGAGUGUAGAGGUGAAAUUCGUAGAUAUUCGCAAGAACACCAGUGGCGAAGGCGGCUCACUGGCCCGGUACUGACGCUGAGGCACGAAAGCGUGGGGAGCGAACGGG